rnacentral:rRNA from 1 species
CCUACGGGAGGCAGCAGUGGGGAAUAUUGGACAAUGGGCGAAAGCCUGAUCCAGCAAUGCCGCGUGAGUGAUGAAGGCCUUAGGGUCGUAAAGCUCUUUUACCCGGGAUGAUAAUGACAGUACCGGGAGAAUAAGCCCCGGCUAACUCCGUGCCAGCAGCCGCGGUAAUACGGAGGGGGCUAGCGUUGUUCGGAAUUACUGGGCGUAAAGCGUGCGUAGGCGGUUAUUCAAGUCAGAGGUGAAAGCCCGGGGCUCAACCCCGGAACGGCCUUUGAAACUAGGUAGCUAGAAUCUUGGAGAGGUCAGUGGAAUUCCGAGUGUAGAGGUGAAAUUCGUAGAUAUUCGGAAGAACCCCAGUGGCGAAGGCGACUGACUGGACAAGUAUUGACGCUGAGGCACGAAAGCGUGGGGAGCAAACAGGAUUAGAUACCCUGGUAGUCCACGCCGUAAACGAUGAUAACUAGCUGUUCGGGUACUUGGUAUCUGAGUGGCGCAGCUAACGCAUUAAGUUAUCCGCCUGGGGAGUACGGUCGCAAGAUUAAAACUCAAAGGAAUUGACGG